UACGCCCUACGGGGCGCAGCAGCCGCGGUAAUACGUAGGUGGCGAGCGUUAUCCGGAAUGAUUGGGCGUAAAGGGUACGUAGGCGGCCUGCUAAGUCUGGAGUGAAAGGUACCGGCUCAACCGGUACAGGCUCUGGAAACUGGCGGGCUAGAGAGCAGGAGAGGGCGGUGGAACUCCAUGUGUAGCGGUAAAAUGCGUAGAUAUAUGGAAGAACACCAGUGGCGAAGGCGGCCGCCUGGCCUGUUAACUGACGCUGAGGCACGAAAGCGUGGGGAGCAAAUAGGAUUAGAAACCAUGGUAGUCCC
rnacentral:rRNA from 1 species